rnacentral:lncRNA from 1 species
UUCAAAUCAGAAGUUGUUGGAGACUGAACAGAAACACUAUUCAUUCGUACGAAAAAAAUGCUGGCCAGUUCUUCUCCAUUUGCCAAAUUUCCGUGCAUUUGUUUAAAUUCAUAUUAAUACAAAUAAAUUUGAACAUAUACAAACCAUACAUAUUUAUCAAUAAAUAAACUAGUCGUGAUCAAAACUCCAUAUCGAGCGGUGGAAGUGUCGCACCUUAGGCCAUGCACAGUGCGCUGACAUGGUGAGGAGCCCCAGCCAACCACGUCGGCGCAGCAUCGCCAGCUCGCCAUGGACCGCGCCCCCGCGGGGUUGCUCGCGUCCUGCAGAGGGGAUGACGUCCUCGUCAGUUUGGCAAAGAGAAUGGCAUGGAAAAGCCCUAUACCGGCCGCUAUUGCACGUACAGAUCCCUCCGGCCGCUUAGCUCUGCUGGCCGCCCAGAUCCAUCACCUCCGGUCGCCUGCCUCCGGGCCCACGAAGCGCCGCCGCCGGCCUCCGCCGGCCCCGAAGCGCCGCUGCCCAACUCGGCCAGUGCCGACCUCCGCUGCUGCUCGGAUGCGACCC